AGAGUUUGAUCCUGGCUCAGAAUCAACGCUGGCGGCGCGCUUAACACAUGCAAGUCGCACGAGAAAGGGGAGCAAUCCCUGAGUACAGUGGCGCACGGGUGAGUAACACGUGGAUGAUCUACCUUCUAGUGGGGCAUACCUCUGGGAAACCGGAGACAAUACCGCAUAAGCUCGUAAGAGGAAAGCAGCAAUGCGCUGGAAGAGGAGUCCGCGGCUGAUUAGCUAGAUGGCGGGGUAACGGCCCACCAUGGCGAAGAUCGGUAGCCGGCCUGAGAGGGCACACGGCCACACUGGCACUGAAACACGGGCCAGACUCCUACGGGAGGCAGCAGUGGGGAAUCUUGCACAAUGGAGGCAACUCUGAUGCAGCGACGCCGCGUGAGCGAUGAAGCCCUUCGGGGUGUAAAGCUCUUUCGACGGGAACGAUAAUGACGGUACCCGGAGAAGAAGCUGCGGCUAACUACGUGCCAGCAGCCGCGGUAAUACGUAGGCAGCAAGCGUUGUUCGGAAUUACUGGGCGUAAAGAGUGUGUAGGCGGUGCUCCAAGUCUGUUGUGAAAUCUCCCGGCUUAACCGGGAGGGUGCGGCGGAAACUGGUGUGCUAGAGGGUGGGAGAGGUAAGCGGAAUUCCUGGUGUAGCGGUGAAAUGCGUAGAUAUCAGGAGGAACACCUGUGGUGUAGACAGCUUACUGGACCACUUCUGACGCUGAGACACGAAAGCGUGGGUAGCAAACAGGAUUAGAUACCCCAGUAGUCC
rnacentral:rRNA from 1 species